rnacentral:rRNA from 1 species
GAUGAACGCUGGCGGCGUACCUAAUACAUGCAAGUCGAGCGAACAGACGAGGAGCUUGCUCCUCUGACGUUAGCGGCGGACGGGUGAGUAACACGUGGAUAACCUACCUAUAAGACUGGGAUAACUUCGGGAAACCGGAGCUAAUACCGGAUAAUAUAUUGAACCGCAUGGUUCAAUAGUGAAAGACGGUUUUGCUGUCACUUAUAGAUGGAUCCGCGCCGCAUUAGCUAGUUGGUAAGGUAACGGCUUACCAAGGCGACGAUGCGUAGCCGACCUGAGAGGGUGAUCGGCCACACUGGAACUGAGACACGGUCCAGACUCCUACGGGAGGCAGCAGUAGGGAAUUUUCCGCAAUGGGCGAAAGCCUGACGGAGCAACGCCGCGUGAGUGAUGAAGGUCUUCGGAUCGUAAAACUCUGUUAUUAGGGAAGAAAAAAUGUGUAAGUAACUAUGCACGUCUUGACGGUACCUAAUCAGAAAGCCACGGCUAACUACGUG